AAUCUGUCAUGGAUAACCUAGUGGGAGGCUCACCGCCAAGCCAGUAACCUUGCUUAGAGGAAACUCAGCUCGUACUGGUGCCUGGUACGAAUCCCGGGGUCGGCAUUUUCACUCGUGCGAGUAAUCCACGACGCUGGAGGCCGCUAAGCAAUGGAGAUGAACCUUGAGGGAAGCAAUUCUGCAGAGACAUCUCCACCCCAGGAUGGCGUCGCCAGAUUACACCGUCCCGUUACAGGGAAGUUGGCUAUUUGGUGUGACUACUACUUUU
rfam:Penicillium arizonense strain CBS 141311 PENARI_contig023, whole genome shotgun sequence.